AUUGAACGCUGGCGGCAGGCCUAACACAUGCAAGUCGAGCGGAUGAAGGGAGCUUGCUCCUGGAUUCAGCGGCGGACGGGUGAGUAAUGCCUAGGAAUCUGCCUGGUAGUGGGGGAUAACGUCCGGAAACGGGCGCUAAUACCGCAUACGUCCUGAGGGAGAAAGUGGGGGAUCUUCGGACCUCACGCUAUCAGAUGAGCCUAGGUCGGAUUAGCUAGUUGGUGGGGUAAAGGCCUACCAAGGCGACGAUCCGUAACUGGUCUGAGAGGAUGAUCAGUCACACUGGAACUGAGACACGGUCCAGACUCCUACGGGAGGCAGGAGUGGGGAAUAUUGGACAAUGGGCGAAAGCCUGAUCCAGCCAUGCCGCGUGUGUGAAGAAGGUCUUCGGAUUGUAAAGCACCUUAAGUUGGGAGGAAGGGCAGUAAGUUAAUACCUUGCUGUUUUGACGUUACCAACAGAAUAAGCACCGGCUAACUUCGUG
rnacentral:rRNA from 1 species